rnacentral:misc_RNA from 1 species
AAAACUUUAAGAGCUAGUGGAUUACCGUCAGCAUAACCAAUUGCCUGGAGUGACAACUGCGUAUACUCUUUCUUCACAAAAUUUGGUUUGAAGGCAUGGAAACUAAAUAGCUGAAGAGCUUCAUCAUCAUUCAAUUUCUUGACUUCAUAUAUAUCGGUAGCCACAUUCUUAAGCAAUUGUUUAUCUCUACUUGUUAAAAUAAUUCUACUUCCAGGACCAAAAACAACAUGCUUUCCUGUUAAGAAUUCAACUAGCUCCAAAUCACUCACAUCAUCAAGAAUAAUGAGAAAUUUUUUACGUGAGAGCCUUCUCUUGAUGGCAGAGGAUAACAUAGAGGGAAUACCUAUAUUUAAACAUUCAUUGUGAAAUACUUUAGAAAGAAUUUCUCGUUGUAAAUUAUCUAGUGUAUACUUUUUUAAUUUCUCCCUCACAUUUGCAAUAAAACACCCACCUUGAAAUUGAUUGCAAAUUUGCUCAAAUAAUUUGCUAGCAAUAGUUGUUUUUCCUAUGCCUCCCAUUCCCCAAAUUCCAAUGCAUCGCACAUCUACUAACUCGAGGCAUAAUAGCUCUUGAACAUCCUUGACACGGGAGUUAAUUCCCACCAAGCCAUCCUUGCAAGAGUCACUUGGAAUCAAAAGAUCAUUCAGUUUUUUUGAGAUGUGACUGAUAAUUUUCUCAAUUAGUUUAGACUCUGACUUGGUAGUCCGUGAAUCCCAGCCUGAGAGGUUGCUUGUUGUCCUCAAAGCAUUGACCCAAGUGUCUAGCUUGUUUGAAUCGUAAUUGGAUUCUUCUUUGUGCUUGACAAGUGCAUCGCCAUAGCUCCCUUUGACAUCUUGAACAUCGCUUGGAUCUACACGGUAGAAAACCGGUAAGAUCAAUUGUUCCACCUUUAAGUUGCAUUCAAGUAUUUUGACCAGCUCAUCCAAACACCAUGAAGAGUAAGCAUAAUUUUCUGAAAAAAUGACAAUUGAGAGAUAAGAUUCUUCAAUUUUGGCCAAAAGGGAUGAUGAGAUCUCUUCUCCUCUUUCAAGGUUUUCAUCCACAAAAGCAUGUAUUUUGUUUUGUUUCAAUUCUUUUUGGAGAUGGCUGAGAAAACCAUCACGGGUAUCUUUGCCAUAAAAACUAAUGAACACGUCAUAUGUCUUCAAUUGAG